ACACACGGGCACCCGCACAUGCUCCCUCAGCUGCCCUGUGUGCCAGGAGGCCCCCCUCGGCAUGGGUGACCUCUGGGCUACCCAGGGAAGUGAGGCACCCCCCACCCCCACCCAUGACAGAGGGGCAGGUGGACUGGGCCGGGGGCUCUUGUCCCUGGUUGAACAGCAGGUCCAACACGACAGCUUUCCCAAGGGGGCCACUGUGCAGGCCUGUGCCCAUGGACCUCCCACAGGGACUCUCCAGAACACGUCAAUGUCUGUUUGAGAUCCACGAGCGUUCUUUAGGAUUCUAUUGGAGAAGGCAACGUUAUCAGAAAUGUCAAAAGGUUUGAACACUUGAUUAAAUAGGAUCGCAGGUCACUGCGAAACAGUAGUUACCUAUUUAGCCAACAUGACAAUAAAAGGCUCUAAAAGUAAAUACAGGAGGUAACACAGCUGUAAAGAAAAAAAUCAAACCCCAGCUCUCUUCAAAUGGAGGGUCACUUUCUCUUCAAUAAUCAAGAACAAGACAAAGUCAAUACCCAGCACAGGAAAUUAUUCUGAGGAAACACAGCAUUUUUAUUUUCUGGGUGGAUUACAGAUGACUCACGAGCUAAAGAAGGUUGUUUUACAAUCUCUUACCAAGACCAGACCAGGAACCAAGAAAAGUUCACUUUUUUAACAGAGAGAAAAAUCAAACUCUAGUUUUCCAUUACCAUACCAUUGAUAUCAAAGUCCUUUUUUUUUUUUCUUUUUCUUUUUUGGGCUGCACCUGCAGCAUAUGGAAGUUCCCAGGCUAGGGGUUGCAGCUAUGCCAGCUCUGAGCCACGUCUGUAACCGACACCGCAGCUCAUAGCAACGCCAGAUCCUUAACCCCUGAGCGAGGCCAGGGAUCAAACCGAAUCCUCGUGGACACUAGCUGGGUUCGUUACCGCUGAGCUACAAUGGGAACUCCGGUAAUAUUUUUAAAUAAGAAGCCAAAAUAUAUAAAAGCCACCUUAUGCUGAGUCAUUAACAUUUCUGUAGUUUAUUACCUAAACAUGAUCUGGGGAUUUAACAAAUAUCUAUCACUCAAUUUAGCAGAAGUCUAAAGAUACCCGAAACUGCCAAAAAGAUUUUGGAAACUUUUUAAAGCAGACAUGCUAUAAAACAUAACAAUUAUUGAAAAGUCCAUUCAUACAACUUCCAUUUCAUUUACAUCAACUUAAUAUGAUUGGAUUAGUCAUGAAAAUUUCAUAAGGUUUUGGGGGGUUUUUUGUCUUUUUAGGGCCACACCUGCAGCAUAUGGAGGUUCCAGGCCAGGGGUCGAAUCGGAGCUGUAGCCACCGGCCUACACCACUGCUCACGGCAACGCCGGAUCCUUAACCCACUGAGCAAAGCCAGGGAUUGAACCUGCGUCCUCAUGGAUGCUAGUCGGGUUCGCUAACUGCUGAGCCAUGAGGGGAACUCUGAAAAUUUCACGAGAUAUUAAACUAAACUAGUCAUCACCUCAAGUUAUUUUCCUGUGAACCAUUUUUACAGCAUGUGUACAUCAGUACCCCCCAAAUCACAGAAAAACAAAUUUAAAUGUAAAAUACAUUUGGUUUCUUUUUGUUUUAUGGCUGCACUUAAUAUACAUGAGCUAACAGACAUCAAGCAAUUCAUCUUUAGUGCAUCUUUCUUGUCCAUUUGCUCUUAGAUCGAAUUUAUACUUUUUAUAACCUUCAACAUCUAGUAGAUAUAGCGCUAGCUUAUUCAACUAAUAAAUCCAAAUAGCAUCAAAUGUAUGCUCAUGUUAUCUUUAAUGCUGACAACUCAGAAGACACCGCUGUUUUCAUUAAGUUGACAAUAUUAAACGGGCUUAUUUACCAAAGAUUUUCCAAAUCACCUGAGCUUGAACAGCUCUUGGGUUAGUUUCUAUAUUUAUGAGAGUUUAAGGAAUAUUUUACUUGUGUAAGUAUUUAUGUCUCAGCCAUCAGGCUAGAACAAGCUUCUCUAUGGGAUUUUAUAAAUUAAUUCAAUAACACCAUCUGGGGUAAGAAAAUACCAUGCAGAUGCAGCCGAGCGCAUAACACAUACACGCAUCAGCAUCCAGGACGACAGAGAUGGAGUCUUGGCGUUCACCGAAACCCUAGCUGUGAGUCAGGCAGAAGCACACUUCACUGCUUGAGAAAAAGAGUCGGCUCUAGUCUCUGCCCCACUUUCUAUAAAAAGAGAAAAAUCUGAAUUUGUCUCUGGCAAAUGAGGCAAUUUGAGGUCACCUGGCCCACGCAAGGAUGGGUUCUUCCCACCAGCGCUUCGGGAGACUCAAGACUUCCUGUUGCCUGACCCGCAGCCUCACGGGGGCUGUGGACCAAAUUCUGGUUGAGGUGCCGAGGGGGUAGCCAGCAGCUGUCUGGGUGUCCCCAGAGCUCACCUACGGGAUAACGCCUGCAGUCUGUUUCCUUGACCCUUCUUGGCCCAAGGGGGUGUUUUUAGGGUCCCUGGUCCCUUGAGAGCCCCCGCUGGAGGCAGGCACCCUAAAGGCUGACCGAGAAGACGUCAACGAGCGAGUUUGGGAGAUCUUAAGUUUCCCGAGGAAGCCUUGGACGUUCCCAAGCCACCCUUGGUCAAAUCAAGGGUUUUUACCGAAGAAGGACUUGCCAACAAGGAAGGGCAUGGACAGACGUGGCGCCCUCGUGGCCUCCAUGCCGCCAGGGGUGGCCUCCCCGGGAAGUGGGAAGAAUGAGGAUGUCCCGUGGGGACGAGAGCAGUGACAGUGACGGCAGCAAAGGAAGACAAUCCGAACAGGGUGUCUGAAACGAAUCCACGCCUCAAUAACAAAAAACGGAGUCCCAACCAGAGCGGACCCCAAAGCGGAUUCCCGAAUCCCUGACCACUGGCGUCUGUUAGGGACGAAAUCGUGCAGCCCCCCCUCCAUGCUCCCCAAUUCAUAUGGUGAAACCCUCACCUUCCAUCCCUCCUCAUGUGACUAUUUGGAGAGAGGGUCUUUACAGAAGUGACAAAGGUUAAACAGGUCCUCCAGACGGGACCUGUCCCCGUGGGGGUGAUGCCUCCUCCAAGAGGCGAGCUGGACGCACAGAGACACCAAAGGCGCCAUCUGCCCGCCGCGGACGAAGGCCCGGGGAGCAGCCCUACCAGCACCUCGAGUGCCCGGGACCGUGGGAACGUCUGUCACGGAAGCCACCCCACCGUGGGUGGUACUCUGAUGGUGCCCUCCAAGACACAUCCAGCACCUUUCCAAACCAAGGCUUGGGACUCCACCCCAGCCGCCAGCGAACCCUCGGAACGCUGAGCAUCCGCACUGGCCCCUGCCGUGCUUCUGCAGGCCAGGACGUCCCUCUCCGUCUACACGAACGCACGGCUGGCGCCACCACCAGCCAGGAGUGAAGGUGAAGCCUCCCCACCUGCACACCCGGGGCCAGGGGCCAGCCGUGCGUCACCUCCCUCAGUCUCCCGGCCCCAGGCGGUUCAAGAAAAAGCACCUGCGUUUUACCGCAGGAAACGCUGCUCCCAGGGGUGCGGCCCCCCAGGGAGGACCGGCUCCGGCCUCGCCCUCCUCCAGGAAAAGGCGGGGUGGAGGCGGGGAGCCGCGGGGCUUGUCUAAUUCGGAGGCGCAGCUUUACUGCAGCUCUUUCUCUCACACGUGGAAGUGAGAACCUACGGGCGGUAAAUCUGCCGGGGACUUUGGCAACGUGUGUCAUCAGGAAGCUAGAAACAUCGUCCUCUCCUUUGCUCCCCAAAUUGCAAUCGCGGAGGUCACUUCUGGGUCGGGCUGCUCCGUUUACCAGGGGCACCUGUCCAGUUCACUCUGUCUUGCGCUCAGUAUUGAUGUACUUGGAAUUCGGAAGUGAAGAAAAGAAAUUGCUCCGGCUUAAGGGGAAUUUCACUUCUAAUUCUGGGAGACAGACAAUCAACAACGAAUAAAUAAGUC
rnacentral:lncRNA from 1 species